rnacentral:lncRNA from 1 species
AAAUCACAGGGAGACACGCUGAAUCCCCUGAGACUCCCCUUCUGUGUGUACAAAAACCCUGUUGCUGGAAAUGGCCUUUCGGAAGCCGACAAGGGGCUGAGUGGAUGGCGCCCAGCCAGGCUGAACGGAGGACUCAUGCGGCCAGGGACGGAGAAAUUUUCCUUUUGCUGCCCAUGGGCCUCAGGUACAAAGAGUUGAGUUAAUUAUGUUUCUUGGCUCGAUGGAUACCUCCCUCCCCAGCAAAACCUAACCAUCUCACCAAUGCCUCCUGAGCGGGGUUAUUUACGGUUGUGACAAAACACACAUGUGCAUUUUAAAGUUAACUCAUAUUUAUAAAACUGUGCCAGAAUACAGCUCUUAUUCCAUUGUGAGAGUUCCGUCUUAAUCUUGUCAGCCUAAAUCAAGGCAAGCUCAAAUGACGAGACAUUUAUUCUGGGAUGGUAGAGGAAUUGCAAUUAAGGAAAUACUCAUCACAGUAAGCUGCAGGUGAGUCUGUUGAGGGCGUGGGGUGGGCUGUACAGACAGGCAAGGAACACAAAGGGGGAGGCCCAGCCAGAGUGCAAGCAGUAAGGUGACUAGCUUGAGGAUGCGGAGGGCGUCUUGGUGGAUGUUCACUGGUCAGGAGUUACAAUUCAGACUUGGCUCAUACCUUCCUCAUGCAUUGUGUUACGAAGAGAAGAGUCAUCUGGGAUUCAAAAGGUUCACCCAAAAGACUUUCAGGCUCAUCCUCCCUCCCUGUUCUCACACCUCGUGGCGAUGGAAUGGAUGUAUUUUUAAAAGCACCCACAGAACCACAGGUGGGAGGACACAAAAGACAAGAAGUUCCGCAGAGGAUCUCCCCUCUCAAGGCUGAAAUGUUGGAGAAUUUUAUUCAGGUAAAAUGCACUGUGGUUCACUAUCUUUAUUCUGUUAAGCCCUCCAAUUUUAUUGUGCUUGGGGAUCAUCUGUGGAUCUUAUUAAAAUGUGGUUUCUGA